rnacentral:rRNA from 1 species
UAGGGAAUAUUAGUAAAGGGCGAAAGCCUGAACUAGCAACACCGCGUGUGCGAAGAAGGCCUUCGGGUAGUAAAGCACUUUUUGAGAGGAUGAGGAAGGACGGUACUCUCAGAAUAAGUCUAGGCUGACUACGUGCCAGCAGCCGCGGCAACACGCAGGAGGCAAACGUUAUCCGGAUUUACUGGGCGUAAAGCGCGUGUAGGUGGUUUGGUAAGUAGUGCGUGAAAGCUCCUGGCUCAACCGGGGGAGGUCGUUCUAAACUGCCGGACUAGAGGAUGGUAGAGGGGGAUGGAAUUCCGGGUGUAGCGGUGGAAUGCGCAGAUAUCCGGAGGAACACCAGUGGCGAAAGCGGCCUCCUGGCCCAUUGCUGACGCUCAGGCACGAAAGCUAAGGUAGCAAACG